GCAGUGGGGAAUCUUGCACAAUGGGCGAAAGCCUGAUGCAGCGACGCCGCGUGAGGGAUGAAGGCCUUCGGGUCGUAAACCUCUUUCGGUGGGGACGAAAUUGACGGUACCCACAGAAGAAGCCCCGGCCAACUACGUGCCAGCAGCCGCGGUAAGACGUAGGAGGCGAGCGUUGUCCGGAUUCAUUGGGCGUAAAGAGCGCGCAGGCGGCUUGGUAAGUCGGAUGUGAAAUCCCGAGGCUCAACCUCGGGUCUGCAUCCGAUACUGCCCGGCUAGAGGUAGGUAGGGGAGAUCGGAAUUCCUGGUGUAGCGGUGAAAUGCGCAGAUAUCAGGAGGAACACCGGUGGCGAAGGCGGAUCUCUGGGCCUUACCUGACGCUCAGGCGCGAAAGCUAGGGGAGCGAACUGGAUUAGAUACCCAGGUAGUCCUAACCGUAAACGUUGGGUGCUAGGUGUGGGCGGACAUCGACCCCGUCCGUGCCGAAGCUAACGCAUUAAGCACCCCGCCUGGGGAGUACGGCCGCAAGGCUAAAACUCAAAGGAAUUGACGGGGCCCCGCACAAGCCGCGGAGCAUGUCGCUUAAUUCGAUGCAACGCGAAGAACCUUACCUGGGCUUGACAUGCAGGGUGAAACCCGUGAAAGCGGGCGCUCUUCGGAGCCUGCACAGGUGGUGCAUGGCUGUCGUCAGCUCGUGCCGUGAGGUGUUGCCUUAAGUGGCGCAACGAGCGCAACCCCUGUCCUUAGUUGCCAGCGGAUCAUGCCGGGAACUCUAGGGAGACUGCCGGUGCCAAACCGGAGGAAGGUGGGGAUGACGUCAAGUCAUCAUGCCCCUUACGUCCAGGGCUGCAAACAUGCUACAAUGCUCGGUACAAAGGGUUGCGAUCCCGCAAGGGGGAGCGAAUCCCAAAAAGCCGGGCUCAGUUCGGAUCGGGGUCUGCAACCCGACCCCGUGAAGUUGGAGUCGCUAGUAAUCGCAGAUCAGCACUGCUGCGGUGAAUACGUUCCCGGGCCUUGUACAC
rnacentral:rRNA from 1 species